rnacentral:rRNA from 1 species
UACAGAGGUGGCAAGCGUUGUUCGGAAUUACUGGGCGUAAAGGGCGCGUAGGCGGCCUUCUAAGUCAGACGUGAAAUCCCCCGGCUUAACCUGGGAACUGCGUCUGAUACUGGAGGGCUUGAGUGCGGGAGAGGGAUGUGGAAUUCCAGGUGUAGCGGUGAAAUGCGUAGAUAUCUGGAGGAACACCGGUGGCGAAGGCGGCAUCCUGGACCGACACUGACGCUGAGGAGCGAAAGCCAGGGGAGCAAACGGG